UCAACCCUCAAGCUUCGCUUGGUGUUGGGUGUCGCCCAGCCCCUUAGUGGCCAGGGCGCCCCCGAAAACUAUCGGCGGUGUGGCACCGGCUCCCGAGCGCAGCAGACCUCGCUGUGGGACCGGGUGCUGCGGCAGCCGCAGACGAUACCCAA
rnacentral:misc_RNA from 1 species